rnacentral:rRNA from 1 species
CAAAAACAUUUCUUCCUUGAUUAGGAGGUAAAGCCUGCUCACUGAAAAUUUAAAGAGCCGCAGUAUAUUGACUGUGCUAAGGUAGCAUAAUCAUUAGUCUUUUAAUUGAGGACUGGUAUGAAUGGCUUAACGAGAAAUUGACUUUUUUUGUUAUAUUUAUUGAAUUUAAUUUUUUAGUGAAAAAGCUAAAAUUUUUCAGAAAGACGAGAAGACCCUAUAGAGUUUUAUGAUUAACUAUAUUAUUUAUUAGUAGAUUUAAAAAAAUUAGUAUAGUAAAGCAUUUUGUUGGGGCGACAUUAAGAUAAAAAAAACUCUUAUUUUUAAAAAUUUUUUUGGAAAUAUAAUUUGAUCCUUUAAAAAAGAUUAUAAGAAAAAAUUACCUUAGGGAUAACAGCGUAAUCUUUUUUGAGAGUUCCAAUCGACAAAAAGGUUUGCGACCUCGAUGUUGGAUUAAAAUUUAAGCAAGGUGCAGCUGCUUUGUUGCAAGGUCUGUUCGACCUAUAAUA